rnacentral:lncRNA from 1 species
GAUGGUUGCCAUAGAUGGUUGCCAGGUAACCAUUGCCAGGGUGGUUGCCAGGCAACCGUUGCCAGGUACUGUUGCCAGGGUGGUUGCCAGGUUUGGUUGCUAAGUGCUGUUGCCAGGUAACCGUUGCCAGGGUGGUUGCUAAGUACCGUUGCUGGGGUGGUUGCCAUGGACGGUUACCGGGUACCAUUGCCAGGGUGGUUGCCAGGUAACCGUUGCUAGGGGCUGUUGCCAGGGUGGUUGCCAGGCUGGUUGCCAAGUAACUGUUGCCAGGUAACCGUUGCUAGGUACCAUUGCCAGGGUGGUUGCCAGGUAACCGUUGCUAGGUACCGUUGCCAGGGCACCAUUGCUAGAUGCUGUUGCCAGGUAACCGUUGCCAGGUGCUGUUGCCAGGGUGGUUGUCAGGUAACCGUUGCCAGGUACCGUUGCCAGGGAACCAUUGCUAGAUGCUGUUGUCAGGUAACCAUGG